CGCGGGAUGGAGGAGUGGUACCUCGUCAGGCUCAUAAUCUGAAGACCUCGGUUCGAAUCCGAGUCCCGCAACCA
rnacentral:tRNA from 1 species